UACGAAGGGGGCUAGCGUUGUUCGGAAUUACUGGGCGUAAAGCGUGCGCAGGCGGCCUUCCAAGUCAGGGGUGAAAGCCCAGAGCUCAACUCUGGAAUUGCCUUUGAGACUGUGAGGCUUGAGUACGGGAGAGGUGAGUGGAAUUCCCAGUGUAGAGGUGAAAUUCGUAGAUAUUGGGAAGAACACCGGUGGCGAAGGCGGCUCCCUGGCCCGAAACUGACGCUCAUGCACGACAGCGUGGGGAUCAAACAGG
rnacentral:rRNA from 1 species